rnacentral:rRNA from 1 species
GCGCGAAAACUUUACAAUGCUGGCAACAGCGAUAAGGGAACCUCGAGUGCCAGGUUACAAAUCUGGCUGUCGUGAUGCCUAAAAAGCAUUGCAUAGCAAGGGCCGGGCAAGACCGGUGCCAGCCGCCGCGGUAACACCGGCGGCUCGAGUGGUAACCGUUAUUAUUGGGUCUAAAGGGUCUGUAGCCGGCCGGCUAAGUCUCUUGGGAAAUCUGGCAGCUUAACUGUCAGGCUUUCAGGAGAUACUGUCUGGCUCGAGGCCGGGAGAGGUAAGAGGUACUGCAGGGGUAGGGGUGAAAUCUUGUAAUCCUUGAAGGACCACCAGUGGCGAAGGCGGCUUACCAGAACGGACCUGACGGCAAGGGACGAAAGCUAGGGGCACGAACC